rnacentral:SRP_RNA from 1 species
GCCAGGCGUGGUGGCGCACGCCUGUAAUCCAAGCUACUCGGGAGGCUGAGGCAGGAGAAUUGCUUGAACCUGGGAGGCGGAGGUUGCAGUGAGCCCAGAUCGCGCCACUGCAUUCCAGCCUGAGUGACAGAGUGAGACUCUGUCUCAA